UCGUGUUUUACCUUCACCUCUCUCGUGCCUAGCGGCCACCUCUCCUGGGGGUGUGCGCGUCUCUGUGUGUAAUGACAACAACCUCAGCACCCCGACUGGGGGCAAGGGAUUGGAAGGGGUGGGGAUUCAGUUCCUGCACAGCCCUGGAACUCUCCUGAAGGGCCCUAAAAGAAAAAGGGGCGGGAGGAGCGCGCCAGACGCCACUGAAGACUCGACCGAGAAGGGGGCGUCCGGGCCUGGGAGAGCUGCACUGGCAGGGGCUGACGUGCGGCUCCUUCAGAUUGUCUUUGGCUCUGGGAAGCGCUUUUGAGAUGACUCGACCGCACAGGAAUUUUACACUUCGAGGGACCCAAGCAGAGAUGCUUUCAUUGGCACGAGAAGUCUACCAAGUGGUGACUUAAUUCACGGGCCGGCAGUAGUUAAUGCCUCUAGUGCCAGAGCUGGGCGAAGGAAAUAGAAAAUGAGGAAAGGAGAGGCCCAAGAAAAUCAAUAGAAGAUAAUAGGGUAAAGGGAAAGAAAGAUGGAGAACCCACAGCACAUGCCCUCAAGAACUUAUGUGGGGACCCCAGGUGUCACAGGAAGCCUGCCCUGAUUUAAUUUGCAUCAGAACUGAGUGCUUUUAAAACCGGCUUGGGUGUUCUCCUGUCCUUUAAGUGGGUGGGUAAGUCUGUGGGGAGUGUGCCUAAGUGGGGUUGGCAACCUAUACCUUCAUAGGGAGUGUGGUUGCUGAUCUCUGUCCCAGAAAGGUGAAAUGCUGCUCUCCAGGGAGUGGUAGACUGUAUUCGUUCUCGAGGUGGUACUGAGGCUGCUGCUCAACAGGCUGAGAGCUCUUAUUGGAUUGUGUUAGGCUGUAGGGUACCCCUGAACUGAAGUUGUUGGUUACAUGAUGUUUCUCAUAAAUUGUUGCAAAAACUUUUUGACCAGUGAUUUUACGAAUACAAAUAAAGCUUGCGUUAUGUAACUUUUAUAUGCCACCUCUGAAUAACGAAGACCCUGAAGAGCAAAGCAUUGUACACAUUCUCCAGAACAUAGGAAGAACAGGAAGGGGGUAAAUGAACGGAGAAGAUUGGUGGAAUAUAAAGAUGGAAGGUGUGUCCCUACCUGCACAGUGAAGAGGCAGAUCAAAUACAGGUGAACUUCAAAAUAACUAAUUAUAAUUAUGAAAUUACACACACAUGCCUAAUAACUUGAGGAUAUGGUGGUCUUAUCUGAAGUGUUUUCAUUUGGGAAGAAAGGGAAGCUUUAAAUGACACACUGUUUUGGCUCUUUCCAUAAUUUAACAUAUAUAGGAGGCAAAAAGAGGUGGAAAUAUUUAGAAGUUACAACCAUAGUGAAGAGGGCAUUAAAUUUCAUUUGUUCUGAAUUGUCCUUAAGGAAUAAAAAACUCUCCUCCCUGCUACUAGUAGCAAAUGAAUUUUAAGGUCCUUUUUAAAAGUAAAUAUGUACACUGAAGGAUAAUUUGAAAACACAGAAAGGAGUAAAGUAAAAUUGCUAAGAGAAAAGAUCAUAAAUGUUCUCUUCACAAAGAAGAAAUGGUCACUAUGUAAUGGGAUGGAAAUGGUAGUUGAUUUGGUAGUGGUAAUCAUUUGCAAUCUAUAAACAUAUGAAGUCAAGAUCUUGUACACCUGAUACUUACAUAAUAUUAUGUGUCAAUUAUAUCUCAAAAAAGCUGGGGGGGGGGGAGGGGAGAGUAAAAGUCACCUGGAAACACAUCACUGAGAGAGAAAACUGUUAACAUUUUUUUUUCUUUGCUUGUGUAUCUUUAUUUCAAAUGGGAUAUUUCUUGAUAGAUGUAAGGUAAUUUAGUAUAUGAAUAGCCUCUCACUUUAGUAACCAAUUGCCAGCUAUAGUAUAUUUGUGUUGUUUUUCUGUGUUCCUAAUAAUGCUGUGAUGAACACCCUGGUACACAAAUGUUUGUCCAUUUCUUUAAUCGUACAUUUCACUAGGCUAAAUUUCUAAAAGUCAAAUUUUUGAAUCAAAGGGUCAAAUAUAUUGAAGUUUUUAAUGUAUAUUGUCAAAUCGCCUUUUCUGAAAGAUAGUAGCACUUUAUUGUCACCUCCAACAGUAUGUAUGUCUAUUUCACUGCACCCUUACCGAGUAUAAGUAUUACAAUUUACAAAAUCAUUAAUGAGAUUUUUUAGAGGUCUUUGUUUUUAAGAAACAUGUGGUACUUUUCUGCUGUUUUGUUUUUUUUGUUUGCUUUUUAUUUUUAACUAGCUAUUCUGGUUGGCAUAAUAUUAACAUUAAAUAUUAAUAUAAGAGCAAGUAAAAGGAACUUAUUCAAGACUCUUGUCACUUUUUAAGCAAAUUAAAGAGCUCCAUAUUUUAA